UCUCCGUUGGUGAGCCAGCGGAGGGAUCAUUACAGAGUAGCAAAACUCCCAAACCAAAUACAACGUUACCUAUCCCGUUACAACGGCGGGCUGCUCGGUCCCCGCGCCCGGCACCCAAAGGCACCCCGUGGACGCCCGUCUUAUGUUAACUAAACCCUUGAAUUGCAUUUCCUCUCUGAGUCUUCUGUACUAAAAAAAAAAAAACUUUCAACAACGGAUCUCUUGGUUCUGGCAUCGAUGAAGAACGCAACAGAACGGAAAAGCACACGUCUGAACUCC
rnacentral:misc_RNA from 1 species